rnacentral:rRNA from 1 species
UAGCAAGGUUAAGCACUUAAGGUGCGGAGCCGUAGCGAAAGCGAGUUUUAACUGAGCGUUCAGUUACUUGACGUAGACCCGAAACCGGGCGACCUACCCAUGAGCAGGAUGAAGCGAAAGUAAAAUUUCGUGGAGGUCCGAACCCACGAGCGUUGAAAAGCUCGGGGAUGACGUGUGGGUAGCGGUGAAAUUCCAAUCGAGCCCGGAGAUAGCUGGUUCUCCCCGAAAUAGCUUUAGGGCUAGCCUCAAGGUGAGAGAUACGGAGGUAGAGCACUGAAUGUCCUAGGGGGUAUUGCACCUACCGAAGACUAUCAAACUCCGAAUGCCGUCAUCUUAUACUUGGGAGUCAGACUGGGGGUGAUAAGAUUCAUAGUCGAAAGGGCAACAGCCCAGAUCGUCAGCUAAGGUCCCUAAAUGUAAGUUAAGUGGUAAAGGAUGUGGGAUUGCACAGACAACCAGGAUGUUGGCUUAGAAGCAGCCAC